rnacentral:rRNA from 1 species
CCGCUCAGAACGAACGCUGGCGGCAGGCCUAACACAUGCAAGUCGCACGAGAACGUCCCAGUCUUCGGUGGGGCUAGUAAAGUGGCGCACGGGUGAGUAACGCGUGGGUAAUCUACCUAUAGGUACGGGAUAACGUCUCGAAAGGUGCGCUAAUACCGGAUAAGACCACAGUGACUGCGGUCACUGUGGUAAAAGGGGGCCUCUCCAUGGAAGCUUCCGCCCAUAGACGAGUUCGCGUCCCAUUAGCUUGUUGGUGAGGUAACGGCUCACCAAGGCCGCGAUGGGUAGCUGGUCUGAGAGGAUGAUCAGCCACACUGGGACUGGAACACGGUCCAGACUCCUACGGGAGGCAGCAGUGAGGAAUCUUGCGCAAUGGGGGAAACCCUGACGCAGCCACGCCGCGUG